GUGAGCGUAGCUCAGGUGGUUAGAGUCCUGGAUUGUGGAUCCAGUGGUCGCGGGUUCAAGUCCCGUCGCUCACCCCA
rnacentral:tRNA from 1 species